AUUGAACGCUGGCGGCAGGCUUAACACAUGCAAGUCGAGCGGAGAUGAGGUGCUUGCACCUUAUCUUAGCGGCGGACGGGUGAGUAAUGCUUAGGAAUCUGCCUAUUAGUGGGGGACAACAUUCCGAAAGGAAUGCUAAUACCGCAUACGUCCUACGGGAGAAAGCAGGGGAUCUUCGGACCUUGCGCUAAUAGAUGAGCCUAAGUCGGAUUAGCUAGUUGGUGGGGUAAAGGCCUACCAAGGCGACGAUCUGUAGCGGGUCUGAGAGGAUGAUCGGCCACACUGGGACUGAGACACGGCCCAGACUCCUACGGGAGGCAGCAGUGGGGCAUAUUGGACAAUGGGGGGAACCCUGAUCCAGCCAUGCCGCGUGUGUGAAGAAGGCCUUAUGGUUGUAAAGCACUUUAAGCGAGGAGGAGGCUACUGAGACUAAUACUCUUGGAUAGUGGACGUUACUCGCAGAAUAAGCACCGGCUAACUCUGUGCCAGCAGCCGCCGUAACAC
rnacentral:rRNA from 1 species